ensembl:lincRNA 1810006J02Rik RIKEN cDNA 1810006J02 gene
AGAGGAAAUACAGCUCGAGGAAGGCAUUUCUACAGCUUAUGCCUAAAACACAGUGCCUGGAGUAGUAGCUUGAAUGUUUCUGGACUCAAGGAAUCUCAGAAGUAGACUGACAGGGAGGCAAGAUAGUUUCUCACUGCCUGUUCUAUCACCAUGGAUGGCAUUAUCUCAGUGUGGGCUACUGAACGCUGGUGAUAUCUAGGCAGAAUCCAGGAACUCAGUAAGUCGAGGAACAGAGGCCUCUCACGAGGGAAGACAGUAUCGUUUUAUACUUGUGGAAAUGGCCACAAUCCUAUUCAUCUUACAGUUAUGGAGGACAGCCAUCCACAACAACUUUCCUGGGGUCUCCCUAUACAAUAUCUAACCUGGGCUGGCCUGGAACUCACUAGACAGGAGCCUAGCACUGCUGCCCUCUGAGAGGCCCUACAAGCAGCUGAACAAGUCAGAUGCAGACACUUACACCCAAACAAUGGAGAGAAGCUGGGGACCCCUGUGGUUGAAUUAAGGAAAGGCUGGAAAGCUGAGG